CCACUUCUCACAUCCGCCGCCUCCCCCGUCCGAUGCGGCCUCUCUCCGACUCCACCGUCCGCCGCCGCCGCCUCGUCCAGCGCUGACUUCUUCCGGUCGCAGCCGCCUCCCUCCCCCGUCCGGUUAGCUCCCCCCUCCGGCGCCGCCUCCCUCUUCUGUCCGGCGCCGCCUCGUCCAUCAUCUCACCCGCCUCUAUCUCCCGUGCAGUGGCUGAGCUCCGACUUCCUCCACUGUCCUGCGGCCCACGGGUGAAUCGAAUUCGGGAGAAGACUGGCAAACAUCAGCCGGAGCAGCAGCAGCAGCAGGAAGUUGUGAAAACAUAGUGGAUUUGAACCGGAAUCGUCUCAAAAAGACCAAAUACG
rnacentral:lncRNA from 1 species